rnacentral:rRNA from 1 species
ACUCAAAUGAAUUGACGGGGACUUGCACAAGCGGUGGAUCAUGCGGCUCAAUUCGAUGACAAACGAAGAACCUCACCAGGGUUUGAAACCCAGACGACCGCCUAGGAAACUAGGUUUUCGCAAGACGGCUGGGCAGGUGAUGCAUGGUCGUCGUCAGUUCGUGGCUUGAGUUGUUCCCUUCAGUGGGGUAACGAACGCAACCCCCGUUGCCUGUUUUAUUAGUCAGGCGAGACUGCUCCCUCACGGGAGAGGAAGGUGGGGAUGACGCCAGAUCAGCAUGUCCCUCUGAUAUCCUGGGCUGCACGCAUGAUACAAUGCACUCGACAACGAGACGCAAUGGGGUAACCCGGAGCAAAUCUUUAUAAACGAGUGCUCAGUUCGGAUUGAGGGCUGCAACUCGCCCUCAUGAAGCCGGAAUCGCUAGUAAUCGCGGGUCAGCUAUACCGCGGUGAAUACGUUCUCAAGUCUUGUACACACCGCCCGU